AUAAACGAAAAGAUUCCAAUUGUAAUCAACGCUACAAAACGUGAUAUAAGUUCAAGCGAGGAGAACGGUACGCAGGAUGACGUUCUAGAACAUGACUCGGAUCGCAUGUUUCUAUUAAAUUUGUCGCUGUAUUUGCAUAAGGUUGGCGAUCAAGAAAAACAAAAAUUUUAUGGGCAGACAAAAAGAGUUCUGGUUUUCAAAGUGAUGGGAAGCGUUUUGAAGCAUGUUUGGAGGCAAAUGACAUAACCUUCACAUCGCGUACUAGUUUCGUAACGCUGAACGAUGAGUGUCUCGCAAGUGCCAGAGAAAAGUGCCGAACUAAUCGUCAAGGCUGCUAUCUUAUUUCGCAAUAGUGAAGAUGGUUGUCCCGAAGACCUGUGCAGAAAAGAAUUUAACUGAUUCGACAGGGCGCGAUGUCUCUCAAAAAUUCCAAAAAGACUAUCAUAUAUAUCAUACACCUAAUCCAUUUAAUUUAAAUAAGACACGUAUUGAUGCUCUUCAUACCCAUUACCGAAGGAUGAUGGGUACAUUCGUUUCGUCAAACCGUUUGUGACACCCACAAAGACCACACAAAGUACUUAUAUUUGCAAUCAGCAUCAAAUUCUGAAUCUGUGUAAGCAUACCCGUCUAUGUCAAGUCUUUUGUAAACAAUCUCCUGGCCGCAAAAAUGAAAGUAUCGCAUUUAAAUUUGGUAGAAAGAUACGAAGUUCUCGCAAGCAGAUUGCUAUUUGG